CGGACGGGUGAGUAAUGUCUGGGAAACUGCCUGAUGGAGGGGGAUAACUACUGGAAACGGUAGCUAAUACCGCAUAACGUCGCAAGACCAAAGAGGGGGACCUUGGGCCUCUUGCCAUCGGAUGUGCCCAGAUGGGAUUAGCUAGUAGGUGGGGUAACGGCUCACCUAGGCGACGAUCCCCAGCUGGUCUGAGAGGAUGACCAGCCACACUGGAACUGAGACACGGUCCAG
rnacentral:rRNA from 1 species